UCUGGAAGUCAUCCUUGGGGUCGCCGUUGUAGUUCCCACACAGGCCACACAUCAGCUGGUAGUAGUUUCCAGGGACGGUGACCCGCACAUAGUACACAAGGUCGUAGGCCACACGCAGGCCGAAGUCGGUCUCAAUCACAACAUCUGAACCAUGCUGGGAGGCACGGAUCUGGCCGUUGGCCAGCACCACGGGCAGCUUC
rnacentral:lncRNA from 1 species